UGUAGUUGACUCAUUAUUUUCGAUCAUUGAAAAUGAAAGUUCCUUGUGUGUGUUACGUUAAGAAACAAUCUUGAUGUUCGAUUACUUUCUUCGAUUUUUUUAAACCACAUGUUAAGGAGUACAGAAUCAAUGUUCCGACAUUGACUUUCACCGAUUUCAUCUAAGGGCAGGCUAUACUUCAAGAAAAUGAGUACUACGACGGCACAAUAUGGUCUUCCACAAGAUUACAAUCAUGAUGAUACAGCAAAUGUAAAAUUAAGGCAUCACAAUAAUGCCGAUCAAAGCGAAACCCAAAGGAAGCGAAGAUCAAAGCACAGACUCUCGAAUCGAAGAAGUACCGGAUUCAUCUCCCAAGCGGAAAUUGAGGCGGCCAAAAGUUUAGGUCCCGACGGAACGGGAAGUCAAAAAUUUUAAAAUAACUACGUAAAUUGUUGAUAUUUGUUUAUAAUAUUUCUAAGAAUGUUAUUUUGUAUACACAUAUAUUUAUUUAUUAACAAUGUAAAAUGAAUUUUUUACCAGUCCUGUAAGUACAGAUGUUUACAUUAAAUACUUUACAAAAAUA